rnacentral:hammerhead_ribozyme from 1 species
AUCCAGCUGACGAGCCCCACAUAGGACGAAACGUGCGUUCUUGAU